ACCAGGUACCCCAUGACUAUGGCAUCGUAAGGUACUUACGAUAGACACUCCUGGGGGUCUCCACCCCCUACCCCCCGGCGGUGUGGGGAGGGGGGGUAGACAGUUUUCAUUAUCAUCCUCCGGAGGACGGAGGUGCUAUUGAUUUACACUUUCCCGAAUGGGAAUAUGGAAAAGAGGAAAAGCAAUUCGAUAUUAUUACAGACCUGCAUAAGUUGGAUUUAUUGUACUAUGGGGUCACUCUACCGAGGGGAUGGUCUGCGGGGCCUUAGGAGGAAACUCCAGACACAUUUUUGUUAAAUAAUAUAAGUGGAUGAGUAAGAGUGAGGGAAAGAAACUAUGGGCAUUGUGAUUUCGAGGGGGUUUAUUUAGGUCGGCGAUAUUUUAUUGGUUUUCAUUUUUUGCGCAUUUCGGGGAGAUGAUAGACGGAGUGGAAUAUUCGGUGAAAAUUACGUAGUAGGUCGGUCAUUCAGUGGAAAUUAUGUGAAAAGUCUGUAGUUGGAUAAAAAUCAGGUAGAAGUUCCGUAAUUCAGUAAAAAAUUAAGUUGACGUUCCCUCGUUCAGUGAAAAUUACGCAGAAAUGCCCUAAUUCGCUGGAAAUUGCAGAGAAGUUGCGUAAUUCAGUGAAAAUUAUCUUGAAGUUCCCGAAAUGAGUGAAAGAACUACCGGAGAAGAGAAAAUUUAUUCAAAGGUUCAUUCGUUGUUUACGAGUUUCCAAUGGACACGUGGUGGUCAAAGCUCUCUCGACAUUCUCAUAAAAAAGGGCGUAAACUUUUUACGAUCGCGUGAAGUCAACGGACAUUCCGAUGAAUGCAGCAUUUGGUGAUGAACAUGUCAUCCGUCAAUAAAAUAUUCAUUUUCAAUUGUAUUCCCAAGACUUUCCUUAUUUUCCCCAUUUCAUUGGCUAUUUCAUUCAUCCUGAUGGCUCUGUUAGUCCCAUUUAUUUAUGAAUUACGUUGAAAUAUUCAAACAUAAUCAUUUUAAAUUCGAUACUCAAUAUUUCUUAUCACAAGUGACGUGUUAAGUAUGUGAACGACUGAAUGCUUGGGAGGUCUCAACGACUCUCCGAAUUUGAUUGUUUAUUUGGUAUCAUGAAAACCGAUGACGCAGUCGACGGAAAGAGGUUCUGUUCCCUUCAUGUCCUUCGUAGCUCAUAUACGAAUCCCUCAUUUAGCUAUUGAACUGUUUAGUCAGUUCGUCGACUGCUCUCGAAGAGGAGAGACUUCAAAUAAAUAAGUUGAUCGCUCUGAAACGAAUUUUGUUUAUGGCUUCCCAGUCUUGUAGUCCACAUCCCAACAAGUUAUUACAAGUAAAAUUUUUUUAGAGAAUUUAUCGAAGCGUUAGAAGACAUUUUGUGAACCUGAAACAAAGACGAUGUGUACGGGGACCGACACCACAGCAUAAAUAUCCGGAGAAAAUACUUGAGACUAGGGCGACGUUGCCUGGGAUAUAAACAAAUGACGAAUGCGGGGUUGGAGAUCACCAGGAAGUGGUGACCAACUUCAGUUCGCCUAGCAACGUACACGAGGAGUCUUCCAUUUGCAAAUUUUGUUGUGUAAGGAGAAGUGCAGGGAGAUCUCCUUAGUUUAGUUAACAAUUUGUUUCUUUGGAUUUGG